rnacentral:miRNA from 1 species
UCCCACUGAAGAUCUUGUUAAAAUGCAGAUUAUGGUUCAGUAGAGCAGGGUGGGGCCUGAGAUUCUGCAUUUCUAACCAGUUCCCAGGUGAUGUCCA